GACGAACGCUGGCGGCAUGCCUAACACAUGCAAGUCGAACGAAGCCUUCGGGCUUAGUGGCGCACGGGUGCGUAACGCGUGGGGAUCUGCCCUUUGGUUCGGAAUAACAGUUGGAAACGACUGCUAAUACCGGAUGAUGACGAAAGUCCAAAGAUUUAUCGCCAGAGGAUGAGCCCGCGUAGGAUUAGCUAGUUGGUGUGGUAAAGGCGCACCAAGGCGACGAUCCUUAGCUGGUCUGAGAGGAUGACUAGCCACACUGGGACUGAGACACGGCCCAGACUCCUACGGGAGGCAGCAGUGGGGAAUAUUGGACAAUGGGCGAAAGCCUGAUCCAGCAAUGCCGCGUGAGUGAUGAAGGCCCUAGGGUUGUAAAGCUCUUUUACCCGGGAUGAUAAUGACAGUACCGGGAGAAUAAGCCCCGGCUAACUCCGUGCCAGCCGCCGCCGUAA
rnacentral:rRNA from 1 species